UACAGAGGUCUCAAGCGUUGUUCGGAUUCAUUGGGCGUAAAGGGUGCGUAGGUGGCGUCGUAAGUCAGGUGUGAAAUUUCGGAGCUUAACUCCGAAACUGCAUUUGAUACUGCGGUGCUUGAGGACUGGAGAGGAGACUGGAAUUUACGGUGUAGCAGUGAAAUGCGUAGAGAUCGUAAGGAAGACCAGUGGCGAAGGCGGGUCUCUGGACAGUUCCUGACACUGAGGCACGAAGGCCAGGGGAGCAAACGGG
rnacentral:rRNA from 1 species